rfam:Triticum aestivum genome assembly, contig: Triticum_aestivum_CS42_TGACv1_scaffold_223517_3B
UAACUACUCCCUCCGUCCCAAAAUUCUUGUCUUAGAUUUGUCUAGAUGCGGAUGUAUCUAAUACUAAAACGUGACUUGAUACAUCCGUAUUUAGACGAAUCUAAGACAAGAAGAAUUUUGGGACAGAGGGAGUAUGUA